rnacentral:rRNA from 1 species
GACUAAUGUGCCUGGCCCGCGGCUCUUUAGGCCUGUGAGUGCCGGUGCGCGUUUACCAUCCUUCGGAACGGUCUACCCUUUACUGGGCCGGAUUGGAUCCAGAUCAUUUACUUUGAAAAAAUUAGAGUGUUUAAAGCAACCAAUUGCCAUGAAUACAUUAGCAUGGAAUAAUAAUCUAGGACUUCGGUUCUAUUUUGUUGGUGAUUGAUAGGGAUAGUUGGGGGUGCUAGUAUUGGCCGGUCAGAGGUGAAAUUCUUGGAUUCGGUCAAGACUAACUUAUGCGAAAGCAUU